AUUGAACGCUGGCGGCAGGCCUAACACAUGCAAGUCGAGCGGAUGAAGAGAGCUUGCUCUCUGAUUCAGCGGCGGACGGGUGAGUAAUGCCUAGGAAUCUGCCUGAUAGUGGGGGACAACGUUUCGAAAGGAACGCUAAUACCGCAUACGUCCUACGGGAGAAAGCAGGGGACCUUCGGGCCUUGCGCUAUCAGAUGAGCCUAGGUCGGAUUAGCUAGUUGGUGAGGUAACGGCUCACCAAGGCGACGAUCCGUAACUGGUCUGAGAGGAUGAUCAGUCACACUGGAACUGAGACACGGUCCASACUCCUACGGGAGGCAGCAGUGGGGAAUAUUGGACAAUGGGCGAAAGCCUGAUCCAGCCAUGCCGCGUGUGUGAAGAAGGUCUUCGGAUUGUAAAGCACUUUAAGUUGGGAGGAAGGGCAUUAACCUAAUACGUUAGUGUUUUGACGUUACCGACAGAAUAACCACCGGCUAACUUCGUGYCAGCAGCCGCGGUAAUACGAAGGGUGCAAGCGUUAAUCGGAAUUACUGGGCGUAAAGCGCGCGUAGGUGGUUUGUUAAGUUGAAUGUGAAAGCCCCGGGCUCAACCUGRGAACUGCAUCCAAAACUGGCAAGCUAGAGUAUGGCAGAGGGUGGUGGAAUUUCCUGUGUAGCGGUGAAAUGCGUAGAUAUAGGAAGGAACACCAGUGGCGAAGGCSACCACCUGGGCUWAUUCUGACACUGAGGUGCGAAAAGCG
rnacentral:rRNA from 1 species